CACGUGGGUAACCUGCCCUGCACAGGGGGAUAACAGCUAAAAACGGCUGUUAAUACCGCAUAUGCACACGCUGCCGCAUGGCAGAGGGUGGAAAGAUUUAUCGGUGCAGGAUGGGCCCGCGUCGGAUUAACUAGUUGGCAGGGUAACGGCCUACCAAGGUUAUGAUCCGUAGCCGACUUUAGAGGAAAACCUGGCCACAUUGGGAGCUGAGACAUCGGCCCAAACUCCUACGGGAGGCAACACCUGGGGGAUAUU
rnacentral:rRNA from 1 species